rnacentral:other from 1 species
GCUUGCCUGCCGUGUUAGUCAGCUUCUCCUUGUUUCGAACCUUGCAUUUUUUCAGGGAGUUCUACAUUGAGUCUCUGCCAACAUGCCAGCAUUGUUCUGGACGUUGAACGGGAAUCUGCGAACACCCACCUACGAGAGUAGGUUCAUGAAACAACUGAAGCAACGGCAUACGCGGGUUAUGA